GGGCCCGUGGUCUAGCGGUAUGACGUGUCGUUGACGUCGACAAGGUCCCCAGUUCGAAUCUGGGCGGGCCCA
rnacentral:tRNA from 1 species